UUCUAGUCGGUUAAGAAGUUAUCUGUACGGGGCUAUAAAUAGCUACCUUUGUAGAUCUGUAAUCAUCAACUACUCAAUACAACAAGCUACUAUUACUUCGUACUUACUUUCAAGCAGGCGACUUCGCCAAAUACUUUCUCUUUUUUCACGAGUUCGUACGGGUUGGCAGGGCUGCAUCAACUUGAUCUCCAACCGAUCUUGUAAGUUCCGUUUACCGAGUAAAUUCUAAGCCUUAACUUCGGGCACAUCGCUGUUGUUUCGUUUAGAUUUAUUCACUAGUUAUCG
rnacentral:lncRNA from 1 species